rnacentral:rRNA from 1 species
UACGGAGGGUGCAAACGUUGCUCGGAAUCAUUGGGCGUAAAGCGCACGUAGGCGGCCUGUUAAGUCGGGUGUGAAAGCCCUCGGCUCAACCGAGGAAGUGCAUUCGAUACUGACAGGCUUGAAUAUGGAAGAGGGUCGCGGAAUUCCCGGUGUAGAGGUGAAAUUCGUAGAUAUCGGGAGGAACACCAGUGGCGAAGGCGGCGACCUGGGCCAAUAUUGACGCUGAGGCGCGAAAGCUAGGGGAGCAAACGGG